UGAGGAAUAUUGGGCAAUGGCCGCAAGGCUGACCCAGCCAUGCCGCGUGCAGGAAGAAGGCCCUAUGGGUUGUAAACUGCUUUUCUGCAGGGGGUAAACCCUCUUACCGUGAUAGGAGGCUGAAGAGUACCUGAGGAAUAAGUCA
rnacentral:rRNA from 1 species